GAUGAAGAACGUAGCGAAAUGCGAUACUUGGUGUGAAUUGCAGAAUCCCGUGAACCAUCGAGUCUUUGAACGCAAGUUGCGCCCGAAGCCUCGGCUAAGGGCACGUCUGCCUGGGCGUCACGCAUCGCGUCUCCCCCAAACCGCCAAGGCGGAGGGGAAGGAAGAUGGCUUCCCGUGCCUCACCCGGGCGCGGUUGGCCUAAAUUUGGAGCCCGCGGCACUUAGCUCUCGCGGCGAUAGGUGGUGAACAAGGCCUUGGCCGUGCAAACAACCCGCUGCGAAGCUCUAUGUCACGUGCGCUCGUCGGACCCUUUGAAGUUGCCUUUGGUGACUUAAAACCUUUGCGACCCCAGGUCAGGCGGGGCUACCCGCUGAAUUUAAGCAUAUCAAUAACGGAGGA
rnacentral:misc_RNA from 1 species